rnacentral:tRNA from 1 species
CCUUCGAUAGCCCAGUUGGUAGAGCGUGGGGCUGUUGAUUUAUAUUUGUGAUCCGAAGGUUGCUGGUUUGAAUCCGGCUCGAAAAA